rnacentral:rRNA from 1 species
UAGGGAAUCUUCCACAAUGGGACGCAAGUCUGAUGGAGCAACGCCGCGUGAGUGAAGAAGGUUUUCGGAUCGUAAAGCUCUGUUGUUGGUGAAGAAGGAUAGAGGCAGUAACUGGUCUUUAUUUGACGGUAAUCAACCAGAAAGUCAACGGCUAACUACGUGCUAG